rnacentral:rRNA from 1 species
UACGUAGGGGGCAAGCGUUAUCCGGAUUUACUGGGUGUAAAGGGAGCGUAGACGGCUAAUUAAGUCAGAAGUGAAAACCCAGGGCUCAACUUUGGGACUGCUUUUGAAACUGAGUGGCUAGAGUGCAGGAGAGGUAAGCGGAAUUCCUAGUGUAGCGGUGAAAUGCGUAGAUAUUAGGAGGAACACCAGUGGCGAAGGCGGCUUACUGGACUGUAACUGACGUUGAGGCUCGAAAGCGUGGGGAGCAAACAGG